AAUGUCGUAGUCCUUUGGACUGCUGUCUUGUUCACUGGUGAAGGAAGUGCGUCAUACUUCCGGGUCACUCGCUCCGUGUGUUUUGCUGCUGCACAACAGAUCUCUGGUUGGUUGGCGAAUCCUCUGCACGGUCGCUCAACGCAUUCAAAAGCGGAUGUUAACGCAGGCAACCUGUACUGUUUGUACCCUUUGAGCUGUCUUCUCCUGGGUGAUACAAGACGAUGCCUGAUCGCUGCUGAGAGCUGAAGGUGGUGGUAUUGGUGUCCCGGGUGGUGGUGUCCCUUUGCCAGUGUGCUGUGGCAAUUACCCCGUUUUCUCCAUAUUCACUGUUUUGCUGUGUGUGUGUGUGUGUGUGUGUGUGUGUUCACGUGGGUGAUUUUUUUUUUUUUGGAUUUCUCUACGCCCUUGUGACCUGUUUCCCCACCGGUAAGCCUCAGCAGCCAUUAUAGUUUGCCCCCCUUCCCAAGUAUGAAUGUGUUUUAAAAUGGUGUUUUAUGAUUGAAAUAAAGUAUUGUCUAUUUUUUCGAACUUCGUCUCUGGCUUAAUUGUAUACGUACCUGGGUGUCCUUACGUGUACUUAGAAUAUCAAAAUUAGGAACUAACACCAAGUAUUCCCUGGGUGUAAGUCCCAGGGUGGCGUAGUCAGUGUUUUGGGGGUAGGUUCUCUUUAAAACUAACCACCCC